GAGAGUAUAGCUCAGCGGUAGAGUGUGUGCUUAUUAGCAUGCACGAGGUCCCGGGUUCAAUCCCCAGUACCUCCA
rfam:Camelus ferus unplaced genomic scaffold scaffold853, whole genome shotgun sequence.